GGUUUUAAAAUUUGUGGAGAAUAAAAUCUUAUAUGGAGAGAGAUUCAUUUAUAAAAUUAUUUAUUUAUUUUAUUUUUUAUAAAUAUUAUUAAAUAUUAUUUUAUAAUAUUAUUAAAUAUUAUAAAUAAUAUUAUAUUCAAUAUUAUAUUUUAUAAUAUUUAAUAAUAUUAUAUUUUUAUUGGUCCAAAAAUAAAGAUGCAAAAUAUGCAAAAUUUAAAAAAACUUAGAUGCGUUGAGCAAUGCUUCUAUGCACCGAACAAAUCUCAACCAUUAAAAUUUUUUAAAUGGACGGUAACGAUAGACCUAUUAAAAGAGGGUGACUGGCACUUGGGGGUAUAGGUAUCGGUCACCACUUUAAUAAGGGUAAAAUUUUUUUUUUAUUACAUGGAGUUUGCAAUGAGGGCAUUUUGAUAAUUUUCCAUCCUCAUAAUAUGCCAUUUUUGUAAAUUUAAAAUAUUCCACCUUCCUUCAUUUUUAUCCUCCAACAUUUUAUCUUUGUAUUAUUACCUUUCCUAAAUUAAACCUCAUGUCUUUAAACCAUAGUUAGUUAAUUCGAAUACGAUAAAAAUUCGAUACGGAUAAAAUACGAAUAAAAUUCGUAUCUCAAUUUUUAAGUUCGUUGAAAAAUACGGUUUAAAAAUUAGAUUCGCCAAUAAUUCGUAUACGCGAUUUAUACGAAAAUUUUACGUUUAUCAUUUAAAAAUUCGGAAUAAAAAUUUGUUUAUUUAAUUAAAAUUUUUUUAGUUUUAUGCUAUUAUCAUGCAUAAAUAAUUAUAAUUCUUAUAAAAUAUAAAAAUAAAAUUGGAUAUAGGUCUAGCUACUAUACUAUUAUGAGUACGAUCGCCCUCGUACUCAUAAGUUGUUUUCGAUGAUAGGGCUUCCGAAUCGACGAUCCACAUCAUUAAACAUUAUUUACAGCAUUUAAAACUUUUAGAAAUCAAAUUUUAUAAAUUUUCGACAUUAUUUAUCUUACGAUCAAAAGGUCACAAAUUUGACAAUUUUUAACGGCCGAUAUGGAAUACUUGCUAGUUUAACGGUGUAAAAGAAUCGGAAUUUGUUGAAUUUUUGAUAGAAAAUUCUAUUCACUAUAUAGAUAAAGAUAAAUAACUCCGAUCUUGAAUUGAAGGAUCCGAUCAUUCUUUUUUAGGACGUCGUUCGAUUUUGACCGUUCAUUUUAUUCCCACUUAAUGGAUUUUAUUAUGAUUUCAAAAUUUUACGAAAUUUAUUUUCUAGAAGUUUUAAAUACUCUAGAUCAUAUUAAACGGAUUGGAUCGUCGAUUCGGAAGCUCCAUCAUUAAAAACAACUUAUGAGUACGAGAGCUUCAAUACUUAUAAUAGUAUAGUAGUCAUGACCUAUAAAAAUCUUACAAAAUAUGAUGAUAUGACAUUAAAAUUUUAUAUCAAAGUUAUUGAUCUUGUUUUAUAUGGUAUAAAGAAUUUUCUAUCAAAAUUUCAUGCGAUUUGGAUAUUUCUACACCGUUAAACUUGCAACCGGCUCACCACAGCUAUUAAAAUUAUUGAUUUUGAGCCCCUUCGAUCACUAGGCAAAUGAUAUCGAAAAAUCACAAAAUUUAUUUUCUAGGUACUUCAAAUACUCUAGAUCAACUUUAACGGAGCCGAUCGUCGAUUCGAAAGUCCGGACAUCGAAAAUAAAGUAGAAGCACGGAGGGCUCCAUGCUUCUAUAAGCAUACCAGCCACACAGACACAAAAAGGGGGAGUGGAGCGAAAAGUCCACCGUAGACC
rnacentral:lncRNA from 1 species